rnacentral:rRNA from 1 species
AUGCAAUGGUCUAUGGUCCAGCCUCCCAUUUUCCCUUCUUUGGAACACAUGUCCUGUUUUGACUGCGUGCGUGGCUGCUUCUACUGGACACAGCCUUCUGGCUGGAGCGACCAUUUGAUGGUGCUGGACACGUGCACCAUGAGGUUUUCCACUGUCGACCUUCUCACCGGCUGCCAUGUGGAGCUCAGCAAUCUGCCUGACAAGAGCCGUGGCCGUCGUAGCCUAAAUGCCGUUGUGAUGGGCAGGGAAGGAGCCCUUGAGAUGUUUUCCCUUGUCUGUCAACAUGGAUCCUUUGCCAUCUACCAUACCUCUCUAAAGAAUAAUUCGCAGGAAUGGAAGUUAGAGAAGAUCAUACAGCUUCCUGGGCAGUAUCAUUCCAUUUGCACAAUGCGUGCAGCCGAGGGAUUCUUGUUCUUCCGAGGCGCUCCAGAAGGUAUUCAUGUUGGGAAUGUGGAUUGUUACUCAAUGGAGGUCAAGACUUAUGAAAUUACCAAAGUCUGCACAAAGAUGGAGAAUACCUUCAACCCCAGACGUACCCUCCCAUACUUUAGCUUCCCACCGCUGUUAUCGGAACCAACUAUCUGA